GACGAACGCUGGCGGCGUGCCUAUACAUGCAAGUCGAGCGAAGUUUUUCUGGUGCUUGCACUAGAAAAACUUAGCGGCGAACGGGUGAGUAACACGUAAAGAACCUGCCUUAUAGACUGGGACAACUAUUGGAAACGAUAGCUAAUACCGGAUAACAGCAUUAACUGCAUGGUUGAUGUUUGAAAGUUGGUUUUGCUAACACUAUGAGAUGGCUUUGCGGUGCAUUAGCUAGUUGGUGGGGUAAAGGCCUACCAAGGCGACGAUGCAUAGCCGACCUGAGAGGGUGAUCGGCCACACUGGGACUGAGACACGGCCCAGACUCCUACGGGAGGCAGCAGUAGGGAAUCUUCCGCAAUGGGCGAAAGCCUGACGGAGCAACGCCGCGUGAGUGAAGAAGGAUUUCGGUUCGUAAAGCUCUGUUGUUAGGGAAGAAUGAUUGUGUAGUAACUAUACACAGUAGAGACGGUACCUAACCAGAAAGCCACGGCUAACUACGUGCCAGCAGCCGCGGUAAUACGUAGGUGGCAAGCGUUGUCCGGAAUUAUUGGGCGUAAAGCGCGCGCAGGUGGUUUAAUAAGUCUGAUGUGAAAGCCCACGGCUCAACCGUGGAGGGUCAUUGGAAACUGUUAAACUUGAGUGCAGGAGAGAAAAGUGGAAUUCCUAGUGUAGCGGUGAAAUGCGUAGAGAUUAGGAGGAACACCAGUGGCGAAGGCGGCUUUUUGGCCUGUAACUGACACUGAGGCGCGAAAGCGUGGGGAGCAAACAGG
rnacentral:rRNA from 1 species